GUGAAUCAUCGAAUUUUUGAACGCAAAUUGCACUUUCUGGUAUUCCGGAAAGUAUGCCUGUUUGAGGGUCAGUUAAAUAAAAAACGGUGUUGUUGCUGCCUUUUGUGGUGACGCGACGGAAUUUGGUCGUCUUAGCUUCGGUUAAGUGACCUAAAAUUUUUGCAUGAUUUUUGAACGUAUUUAAAUAGCUUACGUACGUUUGAGAUCUCGAAUGAUUACUAGGUUUGGUCAUUCUCAUGAUUCGCGCCUAUAAUUUUUCAUCAAAUGACCUUAAAUCAGGUUAGAAUACCCGCCGAACUUU
rnacentral:misc_RNA from 1 species